UACGUAGGUGGCAAGCGAUACUCGGAAUCACUAGGCGUAAAGAGCUCGUAGGCGGUUCGAUAAGUCGGGUGUGAAACCUCCAGGCUCAACCUGGAGACGCCACCCGAUACUGUCGUGACUAGAGUCCAGUAGGGGAGCGUGGAAUUCCUGGUGUAGCGGUGAAAUGCGCAGAUAUCAGGAGGAACACCAGCGGCGAAGGCGGCGCUCUGGGCUGGCACUGACGCUGAGGAGCGAAAGCGUGGGGAGCGAACAGG
rnacentral:rRNA from 1 species